GUCGCAUGAUAACUUACAUACAUAAGGUAAAUGUUACCCUUUAUAAAUCUUACACACGGUUUUAUGCUGGAACUUAAAUAUGGUAAAUUAUGCUGUCAAGUCAAAGAAAACAGGCAAUAUGGUCAGAAAAAAGCGACACUUCUAAUAGGCAUUAAACACUUUGUUUAAGGUGAUAACAUUUAGUUUAGCUUUACUCAUUUUUCUGAUGCCACUUUAAUUUUAACCUUUGUACUUAUUGUUCAUGGCAAUGCCAAUAUGGGUACCGGUAAUGGCUAACUGAUAUAAUUAACUUAACCUUCUAUUUCAUAAGGUCACAUCCUCUAAACUUUGUUUGAUAAACUUCAACUCUCUUUGCUUAGCAGUUGUGGUCAAUUAAAAUAAAAUGAUAACAUUCUGCUGAUAUUCUUGUAUAUAUAUGUGUGAAUGUAUAGUAGUAUGCCUGUAAAUGCUUUAACGACUCCAAUUACUUCUGAAAGUAAUUUGCAAAACAAGAAUGUGUCCCCAGUACACGGAUGCCCCACUAUCAUUUUCUAUGUUCAGUGGACCGUGAAAUUGGGGUCAGAACUCUAAUUUGACAUUAAAAUUAGAAAGAUCAUAUCAUAAGGAACAUAUAUACUAAGUUUCAGGUUGAUUGGACUUCAACUUCAUCAAAAACUACCUCGACCAAAAACUUUAACCUGAAACUGGACAGACGAAUGAACGAACGGACACCCAGACCAGAAAACAUAAUGCCCCUCUUCUAUCGUAGGUGGGGCAUAACAACAAUACCUAAGUACUAAUCUAUCCUAUUUUGCUAAGCACUAUCAAAAUCAAAAUAUGACCUGUGUCGCAUAGAAAUCAAAUGUAUGCAAAUGAUUAUCAAUUGAAUAUCAAUACAUAUUUUUUUAACAUUUUUUCGGGUUGAAAAAAAUUC
rnacentral:lncRNA from 1 species